AAAAGCAAAAAUAAACAAAUGCGACUACAUCAAACUGAAAAGCUUCUGUAUAGCAAAGGAAGCUAUCCACAUAACGGAAAGGCAACCUACUCAAUGAGAGAAAAUACUUGCAAGUCAUAUAUCUGACAAGGGAGCUGUAUCCAUAACA